rnacentral:snRNA from 1 species
CGUCUGACUUGGGUAUAGG